CCUACGGGAGGCAGCAGUGGGGAAUAUUGCACAAUGGGGGAAACCCUGAUGCAGCGACGCCGCGUGAGUGAGGAAGUAUCUCGGUAUGUAAAGCUUCAUCAGUAGGGAAGAAAAUGACGGUACCUGACUAAGAAGCCCUGGCUAACUACGUGCCAGCAGCCGCGGUAAUACGUAGGGGGCAAGCGUUAUCCGGAUUUACGGGGUGUAAAGGGAGCGUAGACGGCUAAACAAGUCAGAAGUGAAAACCCAGGGCUCAACCUUGGGACUGCAUUUGAAACUGAGUAGCUAGAGUGCAGGAGAGGUAAGCGGAAUUCCUAGUGUAGCGGUGAAAUGCGUAGAUAUUAAGAAGAACACCAGUGGCGAAGGCAGCUUACUGGACUGUAACUGACGUUGAGGCUCGAAAGCGUGGGGAGCAAACAGGAUUAGAUACCCCGGUAGUC
rnacentral:rRNA from 1 species